AUGAACGCUGGCGGCGUGCUUCACCCAUGCCAGUCGAACGAAGCACUUUAUUUGAUUUCCUUCGGGACUGAUUAUUUUGUGACUGAGUGGCGGACGGGUGAGUAACGCGUGGGUAACCUGCCUUGUACAGGGGGAUAACAGUUGGAAACGGCUGCUAAUACCGCAUAAGCGCACGGCAUCGCAUGAUGCAGUGUGAAAAACUCCGGUGGUAUAAGAUGGACCCGCGUUGGAUUAGCUAGUUGGUGAGGUAACGGCCCACCAAGGCGACGAUCCAUAGCCGACCUGAGAGGGUGACCGGCCACAUUGGGACUGAGACACGGCCCAAACUCCUACGGGAGGCAGCAGUGGGGAAUAUUGCACAAUGGGCGAAAGCCUGAUGCAGCGACGCCGCGUGAGCGAAGAAGUAUUUCGGUAUGUAAAGCUCUAUCAGCAGGGAAGAUAAUGACGGUACCUGACGAAGAAGCACCGGCUAAAUACGUG
rnacentral:rRNA from 1 species